rnacentral:ribozyme from 14 species
ACUAAACAUGUACAACAUAUAUGAAAAGAAGAAGACACAAACAACAAAAAAAAAAUCCGCGAAAGUUCAGCAGAAAUAAAAAUAUAAAGAUUGUACGUAUGAUAUUUUUUUUUUGCUGUAUGCGAUUAUUACUU